GACAUGCUUGCUAUAAACUAUUAAAACCGCAUCUGUCUAUGUCCGGUGUAGUGAAUAUGGUACUAGUAGUUCCAUUACUUCUUCUGUUAGCCCUGUAAUACAUGGCUUAGAAUCUUUGCUGAACAUGUCAUCUAAUCGCUCUGUAUUUUAGGGAGAAUAACAUAAGAUACUUAUGAAAUUACAGCUUUCCAGCGUUGAUAGAGAAGGCUAGGGACAGCACCGGUCGGAUUGUUCCAAAGCAGUUUUACUCCUUACACUGUGGGGGUGAGCUGUAGUGGUUAUGGUGCUUGAAAUGUUCCAUUGAAACUGAAAUUAUGUUACCCUACUUCAGAUACGACAGAGAAAACCCCUAAAAAAACAUAUUUAGAAAUGUCUUGUGUAAAACUAUGCAAUCUCCCAAAUAUCCCAAAACCAUGUGAAACACCCAAAUUUAGACUCAUGUUCUG